ACUGGUCUGUGAUGAUUAGCUUUUAUUUCUGGACAGCAGGAUGAUAUUUGCGGAUAUGGGACUGAGACCAGUU